UACGUAGGGGGCAAGCGUUGUCCGGAUUUAUUGGGCGUAAAGAGCGUGUAGGCGGUUUGGUAGGUCCGCUGUGAAAACUCGAGGCUCAACCUCGAGACGCCGGUGGAAACCAUCAGGCUAGAGUCCGGAAGAGGAGAGUGGAAUUCCUGGUGUAGCGGUGAAAUGCGCAGAUAUCAGGAAGAACACCCGUGGCUAAGGCGGCUCUCUAGUACGGUACUGACGCUGAGACGCGAAAGCGUGGGGAGCGAAACAGGG
rnacentral:rRNA from 1 species